GUAGGGAAUCUUGGGCAAUGGGCGAAAGCCUGACCCAGCCAUGCCGCGUGAAUGAUGAAGGUCUUAGGAUUGUAAAAUUCUUUCACCGGGGACGAUAAUGACGGUACCCGGAGAAGAAGCCCCGGCUAACUUCGUGCCAGCAGCCGCGGUAAUACGAAGGGGGCUAGCGUUGCUCGGAAUUACUGGGCGUAAAGCGCACGUAGGCGGCCAACUAAGUCAGACGUGAAAUCCCUCGGCUUAACCGGGGAACUGCGUCUGAUACUGGAUGGCUUGAGAUUGGGAGAGGGAUGCGGAAUUCCAGGUGUAGCGGUGAAAUGCGUAGAUAUCUGGAGGAACACCGGUGGCGAAGGCGGCAUCCUGGACCAACACUGACGCUGAGGAGCGAAAGCCAGGGGAGCAAACGGGAUUAGAAACCCGAGUAGUCC
rnacentral:rRNA from 1 species